CAGCCGCCGCGGGAAUACGUAGGUGGCAAGCGUUGUCCGGAAUUAUUGGGCGUAAAGGGCCCGCAGGCGGUUUCUUAAGUCUGAUGUGAAAGCCCCCGGCUCAACCGGGGAGGGUCAUUGGAAACUGGGAAACUUGAGUGCAGAAGAGGAGAGUGGAAUUCCACGUGUAGCGGUGAAAUGCGUAGAGACGUGGAGGAACACCAGUGGCGAAGGCGACUCUCUGGUCUGUAACUGACGCUGAGGAGCGAAAGCGUGGGGAGCGAACAGGAUUAGAUACCCGGGUAGUCCCUGUCUCUUAUAC
rnacentral:rRNA from 1 species